rnacentral:misc_RNA from 1 species
AACGCACAUUGCGCCCCCUGGCAUUCCGGGGGGCAUGCCUGUCCGAGCGUCAUUGCUACCCUCAAGCGCGGCUUGUGUGUUGGGCCGCCGUCCGCCCUGUUCAGGGGGGACGGGCCCGAAAGGCAGCGGCGGCACCGCGACCGGUCUUCGAGCGUAUGGGGCUCUGUCACCCGCUCCGUGGGACCGGCCGGCGCCAGCCUGGCAACCAAUCACCAAAUGUUGACCUCGGAUCAGGUAGGGAUACCCGCUGAACUUAA